CAUUGGGAAUGGAGGGAAAUAAAUGACUGGAUGGUCGCUGCUUUUUAAGUUUCAAAUUGACAUUCCAGACAAGCGGUGCCUGAGCCCGUGCCUGUCUUCAGAUCUUCACAGCACAGUUCCUGGGAAGGUGGAGCCACCAGCCUCUCCCUGUCCUGGAGGCUGGAAGUGCAAAAGGAAGGUGUCGGCAAGAUCGUUUUUUUCUGAGAGCUCUCUCCUUGGCUUGCAGAUGGCAGCUUGCUCCUGGCACAGUCUUUUCUCUACUCACGCCCAAAGUUACGGAGGACCCAGCAACCAUCUCCUGCAGCCCCUGAAAACCUCUUGACUCUUCUGUGAUGUCCCCAGUGAUCCAGCAGCCCCGGCCUUCUUUUGAUGGCUUGAACAUUUGGUCUUCAUUGAACAGUUUGUAUAUUGGAAACUUGCCAGCCUCCAUCCACAUUCCAACCUCCGUCUGCAUCCCUCGAAUAACUGGGAGAUGAAACAGGAAGCUCUAUGACACACUUGAUCGAAUAUGACAGACACUGAAAAUCACGACUCAUCCCCCUCCAGCACCUCUACCUGUUGCCCGCCGAUCACAGCCGGAAUGCAGCUGAAAGAUUCCCUGGGGCCUGGUUCCAACUGCCCACUGUGGACUCUGAGGCCUCUGCAUUUGCGGGUGGUCUGCCUGUGAUAUUUUGGUCAUGGGCUGGUCUGGUCGGUUUCCCAUUUGUCUGGCCAGUCUCUGUGUGUCUUAAUCCCUUGUCCUUCAUUAAAAGCAAAACUAAAGAAAA
rnacentral:lncRNA from 10 species